rnacentral:rRNA from 1 species
AUACGUAGGGGGCGAGCGUUGUCCGGAAUGAUUGGGCGUAAAGGGCGCGUAGGCGGCGCGGUAAGUCUGGAGUGAAAGUCCUGCUUUCAAGGUGGGAAUUGCUUUGGAUACUGUCGGGCUUGAGUGCAGGAGAGGUAAGUGGAAUUCCCAGUGUAGCGGUGAAAUGCGUAGAGAUUGGGAGGAACACCAGUGGCGAAGGCGACUUACUGGACUGUAACUGACGCUGAGGCGCGAAAGUGUGGGGAGCAAACAGGAUUAGAUACCCUGGUAGUCCACACUGUAAACGAUGAAUGCUAGGUGUAGGGGGUAUCGACCCCUUCUGUGCCGCAGUUAACACAAUAAGUAUUCCGCCUGGGGAGUACGUUCGCAAGAAUGAAACUCAAAUGAAUUGACGGGG